rnacentral:lncRNA from 1 species
UUUGACUCGUCUCAAUCGUUGCCCUACCACUCCAUAUUCAGGGGAUAAAUGAAAUAAGUCAUAAACGCUUUGUUACUAGCAUAUAUGAAGAUCAUUAAUGGAGUCUAACUGUAAAUCGUCCACAGAAUCCUAUUGAUUUAGAAAGGUUAUGUACGAAUAGUUAGAAUGCUAAAUGAACAAUCACUGUCAAUGCCUUCAUUAAUAUAAUGUACUACCUAUUAUUAUUAAUUAUUAUAAUGUACUUAUACAAGUGGUUUCAACUAUUUAAUAAUUG